AUUACAGUGAGCCCGUGGGCAGGUGCCAUCAGAUCCCAACAUCAGUCACAGACGGAGGUCAGGCCAUUAAUGCGGAAGCUUGGCCUCUCCUAAGGCUCCCAGCGCCUGCUCUUGGACCUGCGUCCUGAGUACAGGACAUUAGGAGAUGUGUCCUGUGUAAGUCGCCGAAGAGGUGGCAUGCUGUUGACCUGCCUACCACCCCCCGCCCCACAAUGAAGCUGACAAAUGAGCUGUUUUUGCGGUAUCUACUCAUGGUCUCUGCUUCCUGGACUGUGUACUGUUUGCCUCGGCUCUGCCCAGGUUUCUGUAUCGAUCGCCCCUGAACGUUUCAUGUAGCAGGGGAGAAAUUUUAGACCAGCCUACGUGACAUUCAUUUCUUGGAGGCUGACGUGAUCUGGAGAGAAGAAGGCUUUCCCAGCCCGCUUGAUGGGGGACAGGAGGCCCGUGUCGGUCAGCCUGCCUUCCCCAUCCUUCGGCCUGGGGAUGAAGGUCUGGAGUGGAAGGGGAAAGCAGCCCUUGACCUCGGGGUGCAGCCAGGCCCGCUGCGUUCUUGGGGUUCUUCACGGGAGCACACAGACGUCAGACAGGGCCGCCCUGUGACCCUGCUGAAGCAGGCCCAAGGCCGCUCCAUCAUCUUGUCUGAACCCAGACAAAAAGAUUAGCGCUGUGCCAGUCGCCGAAGUGACAAACGCCCGCCACCCUGGCUAACGGGGGACCCCGGUCUCCCCCGCUCACUGCUCUGGCCUCGCCUGCGCCCGCCGUCCACACACACUUAUUGCAACAACCAGUCACACAAACGUCCCCGCUUUCUGCGGACGCUCGGUUCCGAGCGUGCAGCUGGGAGCAGUUCGACGGAACCGAACCAGUAAAUGUCGAAUCCAGCUGUCAGCUUUGGGUGAAUUCAGGCUCUCAAAGAAUCCCUCCGGGAGGCGCCCGGUCUUGGGAGAUAGAUUCUCUGGUUUUUGGGUUUCUGGAGCCCGGCGCCUAUUGGCUCCUGUCUGAGGUGUCAGCGCGCCCCCUGCUGGUGAGGAAAGGUUCUGGGCUGCAGCCCCAGGUGGAUAGGUCUGGAAUCCCCUGGUGGGGUGGGGUGGGGGUCUUUGCCCUCUGCCCUGGUGUUCUGUCGCCUUCUGGAGCUGAUGCACUCAUGCUGUUGGCUUGUCAGGACCCUGUUUUGUCCACGCCUCCCUCGGCUCUUGAAGAGCUAUCGGCACCUCCAAGUCAGCUCUACCCCCUUCCACACGGAUGCUGGUGGCAUCUCGUUGAGGCCACCGAGGUGGGCCCUUCAGCAGACCUGCUGGCCUGGGCUCUGCGUCCCUAGUAACGGAGAGGCUCGAAGGUGCAGAGCUAGCGAGCUGUCUCCGUUAGGGCCCCUCAGCCUUCUGUGGUAUGCUCAACAGCCCUUGUUGGCUCUGGACCCCCAGAGUCCCCCCAAAAGGAUCAAAGCCGGGACCCUUCUGCCCUUGAUGUCCCCCUUCCCUUAUCUGGCACACAUUCCCCACUCAGUCAAGUCCGGGAAACGAAGCAGAGCCGCCUCUAAACGUGAGCUGUUCCCACCUGUGGCCUCCCACAUUCCCCAGCAGGAAAUGGGGUGCUGUCCUUAACUGACCAUCCGUGGCCUGACCCUGCCUGGCUGCGGAAAGGGGUGCUAAUCCUUUGUCUCAAUCAGAGACAAAGCCCAUUUUGAAGUUCAUGAGCUGAAAUUACCUUCUUUUCUUUGGAUUUCCUGUUUUCAUGUUAAUUCCGUCCCUCCUUGCCCGUCUCUCUGAAAGCCAGGCAGACGGGUGUCGCGCUCAGGGACAUGGCGCGAUGGUCAAGCCAAUGUCCCCAUAGUAGGGAGGCUCUGCUGCAGGGUCAGGGUGAAGGCCUUUCACCCCGAACAUCUCCAAGUGGGAGCAAGUCAUUAAAUUAGUGGUAAAAGGAAGGGGAGCUGAAAAUAGCUGUUUUUCUUCUUCUUCAAUAUGGAAAGUUGUGUCUUCCUGAUCCACCCAAGAGACCUUCUCUCUAAGACUGUUAACCUAUGAGCCCUGUAGAAACAUGGUAGCCAAGGACCUGGGGGGACUCAUGGCAAUUAGCUGCCCUUGGCCUACCAGGCACCUCCCCUCCACACUCGUCAGAUGUCUCUGAACUUCAGCAGACAGGACUUGCCUGUUGAUGGCUUCCCGCCCGCAUCCCUCUGCUUCUCAGCCUGCGAGCUUGCCUAGCACAGCGGGCCUUGCUGAGUCCAGGUUCAGAAAGCCCAGUAGCUUUGGGAGACCUAAACCUGCUAGCCUAGGGCCGCCUGGGUGGCUCAGUUAAGUGUCCAACUCUUGAUUUCAGCUCAGGUCAC